CGGGGCUUAAAGUCUUGUAAUUGGAAUGAUGGGAAUUUAAACCUCUUCCAGAGUAUCAAUUGGAGGGCAAGUCUGGUGCCAGCAGCCGCGGUAAUUCCAGCUCCAAUAGCGUAUAUUAAAAUUGUUGCAGUUAAAAAGCUCGUAGUUGAAUUUCUGCUGCAUUGCUUGUGUCCCUCUGGGGUCUGUGCAUGUGGCUUUUUUCGGACGGAGUUUCUUUGUCUGAAUGUUUACUUUGAGAAAAUUAGAGUGCUCAAAGCAGGCAUUCGCCUUGAAUAGUUUAGCAUGGAAUAAUAAAGUAGGACUUUGGUUCUAUUUUGUUGGUUUUAGGUACCAAAGUAAUGGUUAAUAGGAACAGUUGGGGGCAUUCGUAUUUAACUGUCAGAGGUGAAAUUCUUAGAUUUGUUAAAGACGAACUACUGCGAAAGCAUUUGCCAAGGAUGUUUUCAUUAAUCAAGAAC
rnacentral:rRNA from 1 species